AUUUUUCCUUCUUUUUGUUCCUCCAUUCUUCCUCUCUCCCCCAUUCUCUUCCCAUUUUCCCUCCAUAUUUUUUCCUCUAUAUUGUCGUCCUCCUUGUUUUCCUCCUUGUUGUCCUCCUCCCUUUCUUCGACUGGUACUAAACACAAGCGCUAUGUGAUAGAAUAACUGUUUAGCUGAUUUUUUAGAUUUAGAGACUUACAGAUUCAACUUCAUAAAGGGGACUGUCUGUGUGUGUGUGUGUGUGUGUGUGUGUGUGUGUGUGUGUGUGUGUGUGUGUGUGUGUGUGUGUUUUCUCAGUCACCCUGUUAAGAGCACCACAAACGCACACCUGUCCCAAAUUGAACAGGUGUGUGGCUACUGUUUCACGUAUCGGGGUUAAUUAGUCUUACCUGCGUCUCUGACAGGUGACUGACUAGUGGUCGUCCCGUCACUGUGGUAGAGAUUGGUACUAGUAAUUGUAAACUGGUACGUGUAAUCUUGCUUUUUUGACACAUUAAUUUGUUGGUUCUCAUUCAUCUGUAUUGUAUUUCACCUGUUAGUUUCUCUCUCUCUCUCUCUCUCUCUCUCUCUCUCUCUCUCUCUCUCUCUCUCUCUCUCUCUCUCUCUCUCUCUCUGUCUCUCUCUCUCUCUCUCUCUCUCUCUCUCUCUCUCUCUCUCUCUCUGGAUGAAGAAAAUGUAUAACUUGUAUGUGUAUUUUAUAACUGUGAGUGUAAAUUUGUAUAGCGUGUAAAUAGUGACCAUUAAUACUAAUAUUGUAUUUUUGCAA